rnacentral:lncRNA from 1 species
GCUGUGACAACCCGGAAGUGGGCGGGGCGUGGUCGCUGGUCGGUUCCUGUGGAACUAGAUGGGGUUCUUGAGAAAGUGGAGAAUCUGAGACAAAACAGAACAUCGUCCUUCUUUCCAGACAUAUUGGAGUAGGC